CAAAGGCUUGGUCCUGACUUUACUAUCAGCUUUAGCACAAUUUACACAUGCAAGUAUCCGCAGCCCUGUGAGGAUGCCCUUAAUCCCCCGCCCGAGGACGAGGAGCAGGCAUCAGGCACUAACAUUUUUAGCCCAAGACGCCUUGCCACGCCACACCCCCAAGGGAAUUCAGCAGUGAUAGACAUUAAGCCGUAAGUGAAAACUUGACUUAGUUAGUGCUAAGAGGGCCGGUAAAACUCGUGCCAGCCACCGCGGUUAUACGAGAGGCCCGAGUCGAUAGGCACGGCGUAAAGGGUGGUUAAGGAGAGCAGAAACUUUAAAGCCAAAGAGCCUCUUGGCCGUCAUACGCUCCUGAAUGUUCGAAGCCCAAUAAACGAAAGUAGCUUUAAUACAACCCACCUGACCCCACGAAAGCUAAGAAACAAACUGGGAUUAGAUACCCCACUAUGCUUAGCCGUAAACCUAGACGUUAUUACACAACAAACGUCCGCCAGGGUACUACGAGCGUUAGCUUAAAACCCAAAGGACUUGGCGGUGCCUUAGACCCCCCUAGAGGAGCCUGUUCUAAAACCGAUAACCCCCGUUAAACCUCACCACUUCUAGCCCCCCCGCCGCCUAUAUACCGCCGUCGUCAGCUUACCCUGUGAAGGACUAACAGUAAGCUAAAUGAAUAUAUUCCAAAACGUCAGGUCGAGGUGUAGCGCACGAAGUGGGAAGAAAUGGGCUACAUUUUCUAUUAUAGAAUACUAACGAACAGUACCCUGAAAAAUUACUCGAAGGAGGAUUUAGUAGUAAAAAGGAAAUAGAGUGUCCUUCUGAACCCGGCUCUGAGGCGCGUACACACCGCCCGUCACUCUCCCCUGUCACACAGCAACAAAUGUUCCUAACACCAAAGCACCGACAAGGGGAGGCAAGUCGUAACAUGGUAAGUGUACCGGAAGGUGCACUUGGAUCAAACC
rnacentral:ncRNA from 1 species